ensembl:snRNA U6 U6 spliceosomal RNA
GUGCGGGCUUUGGCAGCACAUAUACUAAAAUUGGAAUCACACAGAGAAGAUUAGCAUGACCCCUGUGCAAGGAUGAUUGGAGAAGGCAAAUGGCACCCCACUCCAGU